GAUAGCCAAAAAUGCGGAUUGGGUCUAAAUUUGGUUCAACAAUACGGACUUCACCCACCAGAGGAUCAUAAAUUCCUCCCCAUUGGUUGGCUUUGAGGACCAGAAGGGCUGCACCAAUGCCUAAUAGGACUAAGUGAAUCCCUAAAAUACUGGUCAUUUUUUUGCCAUCUUGCCA
rnacentral:antisense_RNA from 1 species